UGAUGAGUGUGUUACAUCCCGUAUUUUUGAACGUCGAAUUAUUUGUAAGCUGAGGUGGGGCCCACACGUCAAGAUUUUUUUUUUUGGGACAUGUGACAAAUUAUAUGAAUCACAUAUGUGAAGUUAAACACAACUCAAGAAGGACCCUUGGGCCAAAUCAAAGUGGAAGUCCUCCAAACGAAUAUUUUUAAGAAAACGUUUUCGGGUGACCUGACUUUGGGGGGCAAAAACGGUAUUAUAUGUUUGGAAUUUGGAAAAAUACCAUGAAUUAGAAGUUGUAGAUAAUUGAAUUAUCUUUCCAACCAUAGGUCGUGGGUUCCCAGGUGACGUCGGUACAAGGAGAUAUGGACGUUUUAAGGUCGAAAGGUCAGUGGGCUAGGCCCAACUCGGGACCAACCGAGUUGGCCCAAAAAAAUGAAAAGAAAAAUUUAGGCCCAAGGUGAGAGGGUGGCCGGCCAUACCUGGUCCAAGCCCACCAAAUUAAUUAAUUUCCAUGUGGCAAAUUAAUUAUAAAGGGAUCAUUAUCCCUUAGAUGAUUCAAGAAACUUAGAAGGAGAAAGAACAAACAAAACAAGAGCAAAAAAAAGGGCCAUUUCGGGUUUGGCCAUAGAAAAUUCACCCCUCCAAAUCUUCCUCCAAAAAUUAUUUUCUUGUGGUAUUCCUACUAAUUUAAGGGUCCUUUACAACUUGGUGUAAUUGUUUUGGAAGAAGGAGCACUUAUUUCUUCAAGUUGACAACUUGUUCAAGUGAAGGAGUUGUAGAAAAAGAUUUUGGGCGAAACGGGAAUUGAAUUUGGAAAGGCGUAAAGAGCAUAUAAGGUACCGACGACAGGUUUGCUGAUUCGUCCGCUUAGGAUCUUAUUCUGCUAUUUUGGAGCGCUCCUUUAUCCGGAGCCUAUAUUUUGUGAUGCCUCCGAAAAAGGCGACGGCUGCCCAGAAGAAAAAGGGCGUGGUAGGAGAGACCAGCCGGGCUCAGAAGGGUACUCGGACCCUUGCUCAGAUGAUGCGUGAUAUUGCGUCCCGGCCAGCAGACUCUGCUACGUCUUCAUCAUCAGAGGAGUCUGGGGCAGCUCCACCAGUAGCUCCAGAGGUUCCAGUACCUGAGCCUCCAGCUCCACAGCCAGGGGCUGAGGAUCGGGCUAUAAGAGAUGCGGUCCAGUUGUUGACCAGACUGGUAGCAGGGCAGGUUCAUAGGCACGGACUUGGGGAUGGUCGUGCAGACAGACGUGACAGUUCGAGAGCUCGUGAGUUCCUGACCUGUAAUCCUCCAGAGUUCUUCGGGACAAAGCCCGAGGAGGAUCCUGAGGAGUUUAUCAGGAAGAUGCGGCGCACGUUACAUUUGAUUAAGGCAUCUGCGACAGAGUCAGUGGAGUUGGCUUCGUACCGGUUGUAUGAUGUAGCAGCAAAUUGGUACGAGUCUUGGGAGUUAGCCAGAGGCGUUGGUGCUCCCCCAGCAGUCUGGGAUGAGUUUUCUGAGGCUUUUCUUAGCCAUUUUCUGCCUCCGGAGUUACGGCGGGCCAGGGCUGACAGAUUCUUAUUGCUUAGACAGAGGGGCUGCAGUGUUCGAGAGUACAGUAUGGAGUUCGACUCAUUGGCCCGAUAUGCACCUGCUGUGGUAGCUACUAUGGCUGACAGGAUGCACAGGUAUAUUAUGGGGCUGGACCGUUAUUUUGUCGACAGUUGCUUGGUAUUGGCCGCUCAGCCCGAUAUGGAUAUUGCCCGGAUUCAGGCGCAUGCUCAGGGCAUGGAGGACCGGCACAGGGGUCAUCAGCCCGAUAGGAGUCAGGAUCGGAGACAGCCCAAGAGGGCCAGAUCAUCUGGGUAUUUUGAGGAAUUUCGGAGUGGGCAGCCUCAGCAGCAGCAGCAGUCUAGCAGGCAUUCUUCCCAGCCAGCACAGAGCACACCUCCGCAGUUCUCAGGCAGGAGAUUUGAUAGCCCAGGGUAUUUAGGAGCAGGCCAGAGCUCCGGGGUUUCAGGUUCGCGGGUAGACAGGAGUUCCGGUCAGACGAGGCCACCCAGGCCUCAGUGUUCUUAUUGUGGGAGAUACCACCCUGGAGAGUGCUACCGUGCUACAGGUGCUUGUUAUUCUUGUGGCCGUCAGGGCCAUACUGUGAGAGAGUGUCCGUAUAAGGGUAAUUUGGGAGGUGCAGCGCAGCCUACCGGAUCAGUCGCUGGGUCAUCGUCUCCUUCGAUAGCCAUGCGCCCUGCGGGGCAGGGUACGUCGACAUCAGCAGGCCGCGGCAGAGGUAGUGGCGGGGCUCCCAGUUCAAGCGGUCCUUCGAACCGCAUCUAUGCCUUGACUAGUCGACAGGACCCGGAGGCGCUACCAAACGCGGAUACAGGAGCACUUAUUUCUUCAAGUUGACAACUUGUUCAAGUGAAGGAGUUGUAGAAAAAGGUAAGAAUCAAUUUCUUUUUCUUAUGUUAUGAAGGUUUGUUUAUGUUGUGGUAUGUGGAAAUGAGUAGAAAUUAUGGAAAUAAGGAAGUUUGCAAAGUGGGUAUGUAUAUAUAUAUGUAGCCAUGAGUGUAUAUAUGUUGUAUACAUAUAUGAGUUGAAUUUUAUGUUGUAUUAGUUGUGGUUAUGGUGAAAAUUAUAUUGGGAAUGAAAGUUGAAUGAAUUUUGGUUGAAGUUGGAAUGUAGAAGAUUAUGUCACUUUAGAAUGAUUUUGUGAUAUUAUGGAAAUGAAGUUGUUAAGAUGUGAAUUAUGAUUAUGGUUGAUGAAAUUGGAAGAUGGAAAUAUGUUAUGAAUAUGUAGGUUGAAGAUUUGAAGUUUUGGGUGAAUUAUGUUUUGGUGGAAAGUUUGUAUAUUUUGUAUAUCUUGUGAAUAUUUCGUAGAAAUGAUAUGAAAUAUUUCCAAAUUAUAUUGUGAUGAUCUAGAUUAAUGAUGAAUGUGAAACCAUUGAGAUUAGUUUGGAAAUUGAAGUUGAAAUGAAGGUUAUGACAUUAUGUUGGAAAGAUAGCUAGUUAAGUUAUAUUGUGUUUAUAGUGAUUGUUGUUGUUGUUGAUGUUGUUGUUGGGUUGUUGUUGAUUGUUUUGGCCGAGUUAAAUUCUCGGGGAUGCUAUAUGUAUAGGGGAGAUGCUGCCCAAAUUUCUGUAGGCAAUUAUGAAUAAAGAUUGAAUACUUAAAGAUUGGAAAUUGAGAAUUGGUAAAUGUGACCAAUUGCAGAUUUUGGGCGAAACGGGAAUUGAAUUUGGAAAGGCGUAAAGAGCAUAUAAGGUACCGACGACAGGUUUGCUGAUUCGUCCGCUUAGGAUCUUAUUCUGCUAUUUUGGAGCGCUCCUUUAUCCGGAGCCUAUAUUUUGAUUCACUGCUGUCUCA